CAUGAAACUAAAUGCUGUUUUCUUUUUCUUCUUUAGCCACUCACAUUAAGGGGCUUUUGUCGUUCGAGAAAAAAAAGAAGACAAUAUUUUAAAGCCUCCUACCUAGGGGGCUUUUUUAUU
rfam:Providencia alcalifaciens DSM 30120 P_alcalifaciens-1.0_Cont170.1, whole genome shotgun sequence.